rnacentral:rRNA from 1 species
GGGUCUGUGGGGGAACGUUCGGAACGGACGCUAAUACCGCAUACGUCCUACGGGAGAAAGCAGGGGACCUUCCGGUCCUGCGCUAUCAGAUGAGCCUAGGUCGGAUUAGCUAGUUGCGUUAGGUAAUGGCUCACCAAGGCUACGAUCCGUAACUGGUCUGAGAGGAUGAUCAGUCACACUGGAACUGAGACACGGUCCAGACUCCUACGGGAGGCAGCAGUGGGGAAUAUUGGACAAUGGGCGAAAGCCUGAUCCAGCCAUGCCGCGUGUGUGAAGAAGGUCUUCGGAUUGUAAAGCACUUUAAGUUGGGAGGAAGGGCAGUUACCUAAUACGUGAUUGUCUUGACGUUACCGACAGAAUAAGCACCGGCUAACUCUGUGCCAGCAGCCGCGGUAAUACAGAGGGUGCAAGCGUUAAUCGGAAUUACUGGGCGUAAUGCGCGCGUAGGUGGUUUGUUAAGUUGAAUGUGAAAUCCCCGGGCUCAACCUGGGAACUGCAUCCAAAACUGGCAAGCUAGAGUAUGGUAGAGGGUAGUGGAAUUUCCUGUGUAGCGGUGAAAUGCGUAGAUAUAGGAAGGAACACCAGUGA